GGAUCCGUGGCUCAAUGGUAGGGUGUUACACUAAAUGACUAAUGGUCCCGAGUUCCAAUCUCAGCUGAUCCA
rnacentral:tRNA from 1 species